GGUCUUGUAGUAUAGUGGUUAGUACUCUGGACUUUGAAGAGUGCAGAGCGAUCCAGCAGCGGCGGUUCGAAUCCGCCCAAGACCU
rnacentral:tRNA from 1 species